ACAGAGGGGGCAAGCGUUGUUCGGAAUUACUGGGCGUAAAGGGCGCGUAGGCGGCCCGCUAAGUCGAACGUGAAAUCCCCGAGCUCAACUCGGGAACUGCGUCCGAUACUGGCGGGCUUGAAUCCGGGAGAGGGAUGCGGAAUUCCAGGUGUAGCGGUGAAAUGCGUAGAUAUUGGGAGGAACACCAGUGGCGAAGGCGGCUACCUGGACCGGAUCUGACGCUGAUGCGCGAAAGCGUGGGUAGCAAACAGGA
rnacentral:rRNA from 1 species